UAAGAUUGUGUUUUUUUUUUUUAUAUGAAGCUUUAUAUGAAGCAGCACCAAAACACAUAGCAAGCAAUAAAUUUUGAUUUUGAAGCUGGGAGAUUCAAAAUCAGAAAUAGUUUCUACUGAUUUAUAGAGCACAUGGGAUGUUAACAUUUCAAUAGAAAAUACAAAGAGAUGGCAACAAACGUUAGAUGAUCCCUGGCCUAAUAUCUCUGUUCAAACUGGUUUAAAUUGGCUAAAACUCAAAAGGAAUUUUUUAAAAUAGGAAUUUCAUAACUCAAGAAUGCAAAAGCACGAGUAAAUAAAAAUUAUUAAAAAAAAUAGAAAGGGCUGGAAGCAAUUUCAGAACUUUUUCCCAGAAUCCCUUUAUUGCUCAAGCUGCUUAUAAACUAACAACUAUUUUACUCUCUACAUCAGAGAAACAAUUUGAAAGUCUUUUGUCAUUUUUGGACAUUUAAUACACUUAAGUCAGUUCAUAUUCAUUUUUAUCUGGAGGUCCAUUGCGUUAUCUGUUACUGUUAUCCAAUCCAACAGCCGCACAUAAUUUGCUUGGGGCUUAUCUGGCAGCUUACAGGCAUAGAAUUUAAACUUACAUAUUCUUCAGUGGUGUUGGAAAAUAGUUAAUACAGAAGUAACCCCGUAAGUACACAACAAAUACUGUUUUGUCUAAGCUGUGAAGUUCAUUUACACCUAUUCCAUCCAAUGUGUGGGAUUGUAAUCACAACCACUACUUUUAGCUUGUUGGGUAGUGAAAUACCAUCAAAUAAUAGCUGCAAUACUGUAAUGCUAUAACGUAAGGAAAAGUACAGUGAUAGUAGAAGAGGAGCACAAUCCUAGGCGACAACAAACGAGAACAAGCCCAAAUACAACAACCAUAGACACAGAAACAAAUGAAGAAAAACUGCUUACCUUCAAAAAGUCUCCAGAGAGACACUCUUCACCUUCACUGCCAACACUUAAAUGAGGUUUGGAAAGAGGUGGAUCCUGGCUCCACACCCUUCCAGUCACUCAGGUGCACUGCAUACACCUGAGCUCCCCUGGGUUGGUCCUGCCUUCCUACCAGGUUCUCCAUCACUGAUUCAGGCCAUGACUUAGCAUUUCCACUACAAAUACUUACCCAGUUAACAGCUUAAUGGAAGAACACAGAGAUUUGAGGGAACAGUCUCUAAGCAGCCAGAAUGUAGUAUUGACCGGUCAAAAACCUGGUGUUCUAGUCUUACUCAUGGAGGAGAAUAGUGUGUUGAAUUGCACUGAGCACUGUAAUGGCUUUGAGUUCUACUGCGUCUUCUGUUAAAUGCUAAAAUUGUCACUUGUGCUUUCAUGCUGAAAGCACUAUUUUACUGUGAUAGUGAUUGAAGAGAUAUUUAUGUUUUGCAGGGCAGACAAGUAAAAUACAUUUUAUCACAGAAGCAAUGCAUGCUUGAAAAUGAAGGUGUUCUAUGCCGGUAUUCUUUAUGGAAGUGUAGCUGGAAAAAGGAUUUGCCUGACAGUUGUAAAUCCUUAAACCGUAAAGUUACAAACAUGACUUCAGUUACAUCAAAAUGAGGAAAACUAAGUACAAUUCUAAGUAAUGCUCUACUGUUAGCUGCUGUGGUGCCUGAAGGAAUUUACUGUGUCCAUGUUAAGACUGGAAUGGUGAAUGGGGAGCUGGCUGGCAAAUAGGUAUCGAAGUCUGAAGUCCUUCUGUCUGCAAUCUGUGCUGUACAGGGAAAGCAGAAUAAAGCUCUUCGACAGCCUUGAAAGCUUUACUUGAAGAGCACUGUGGCAAAAGUGGUUAGAAGCAAGAACUUCACAAUGUGGUCAAUACUUUUCCCACAUAGAUGUGCUACAAAUUUAUUUUACAUCUAUAACUAAGUGACCAAUGGCAGAAGUUCAUGCAAAUUCAAAUCAAACAACUGCAAAACAUGUAGAAUGUAAGAUGCUUCUGGUUAGCACUGUCUGACAGUACUUUUAGCCAUAAAGAUUGACUAUCAUUUGAUUUUUGAGAGUUGAGACUGAGAAGGCAAAGAGGAAGACUGGCCCAUGACUUCUAAUUAACAAUGGUGAAGUUCUGUCCUGUUCAAAUCAAGAGAUUCAGAAGUUAAUUCAACAGAAAUAAAUUAUGUUUCCAAAUGCUAUUAAAUAACUAAGUAUGGCAAAAUACUAAUAAAGCAUACUUUCAAAAAAAAGACAUAUGUCUGAAAUGAAAUGCUGUAAAAGACUUUUGUUUUGUAAAACACUCUUCUUAUAAAAGGAAUAUGGCUUAUAAACACAAACACAUACAUACAAACACAUCUGCACAUGCAUACUUCCCAAACCGUAAGAUGUCUGUUUGAAAGAUGACAUUUCUUUCAGUGACUUAAAGUUUCUUCAAGGCAGAAAACUAUGGAAGAUACAGCAUAGCUGAACAUCUGUCUUGUCAUGUAGGCAGAUAUUAGGAUUAAAUUAACUAGAAAUGAAUAGAAUGAUAUAUGACAGGGUGCAGAUGUCCCAGCCACAGUGUGAUAAUUUCAUUGCAAAACUAUGUAAUGAAUUCCAUACAUUACAGAAAUACAAAUAUACUACUUUAGGUAAUUGUGAUGAAAAGGUAUAAUAUGGAAUGGAUAAACAGAUGGUGUACCCAAAGGCAUUUUUCGUUUGCUAUUGCUCUUUAGUCAUUUUAAAAUGACUUUAUUUGGUUUACUGUAAGUCUAUUAUUACAUUCUUUCUUUUUAAUUUUUUUUCUCGUAGCUCUUCUGAAUCUGGAUUGCAUGAGGAGCAUAAAGGACCAUUCUGCACGUCUGCUUUCCAGAUAGAUUGAAAGUCAAAUACAGAUGUUGGACAGUUUUUCACUGAAAAUGAUGCAAUCGGCUGUUGACUUGCUGAGAAAUGAUGUAUCUCUAUGAAAAGGACAAAAAUGGAAGAUGCCCAGGGAGUAACAAUUCCACUAUCAGAGAUGUCCCUUUCAUAUUACACUAACACUCUUAAAAGACAUCUUGCUCUUCUUGGAUUGCUGCAAAACCAGGAACUGAUACAGUCUGAAUAACACAUCAGACAGUCCCAUCAACACAUGUAUAUCCCAGCCAAAAUGAAUGAAGGAAAUGACCCACCUGGUAUUUACUCAUAUUUCUAUCAUUUCAUGAGCAUGAACUAACUGUAUAUCAUCACUUUGACUCUUGAAAGAUAAGGAGACAUCAGCAACCCAGAUAGAUAUAAUUAGAUGACAAAUUGAAAGUGGACAAUAAGAGAAAAUAGUGAUCUUAGCCAAAAGGAACACAGCUUUUCUGCUAUGAAUAUACUGAUAAAGAAGAACAAGCAAAUACAAACAAUGGUAUCCAGAAGCAAGUUCAAUAACAGUGUUGCCUUUAAGACAAUGAAUCAGGAAAACAAAACAGUGUAAAACAAAAACAAAAACAACGUAAGAAUGGAGCAUGGUCUUUGGAGAGCCAUGGAGGAUUCUGAAGGCAGAGAUCAUCUAUUCACUCUUCAGUGAUGCUGUAAAUUGUAAAUAUGACAGCAUGGGACUGAGUUACCUGUUUCCUUCAAGCUUGAUUUUUUUUUUAACUUAACAGAAAUUCUACAGAGAAAAGAAUGCAGGAAUCACGUCUUAUUAAGAGCUUCUGAGUGUCCAACUCAAAUUGUGUUUCCCAGUUCCAAUUUGUAGUCUAUUUUUUGAUCCUGUAGACUUAUUCCUGAGCAGCAGUAGCUGUGGAACAAAGCGUUGAACAUCUUCCUGAGCUUGGACCAUACUGGUGAGUUCUCAGGGUUCAGAAAAUCAUCGCAGAAUCUGAAGGAAAUAUCUAGCUCUGAACUGGGACUGGGAUUGAAGAUGCAGCAGCACUCUAGGUUGCCAUAUGGACACAUGAGAAAAAGCAAGGCUGUUCCAGCAACCUGUCUCCAAGCCACUUUCUCAAGCCUACCUAUGCCAACCCUGAAAAUGAAUGGCUCCUGAGAGGACUCCAUCUAAACCAUCCUGCAGUUCUGCUUGCUUCCAGCCAAUAGCCUUCCAUUUCUGUUGCACCAAUUGAAUGGGAGUGAGACAAUGAGACUGCCAGCCACACUGUGAUUGAGGAUUUUGAAAUAAAUUCAGUGAAACUAGUGGAGAAAGUGCCAUCAAAAUUUGGAACUUCAUCUGAAUUAUACUGGCUGCAUGCCCAUCAGUUUUCUUGUACUACAGGGAAGCUGACAGGCACUUUGGACAACUUAUCACAACACUAUGUGCCAUAAAUGUGAUGCAGCAUUUCAUAAAUUUGAUAAAGUACUUCCAAAACAACUGUUGACUUUUAAAGGAAUCCAACUUCCCUGAAAGUAGGAUAUUUAUCGUAAGUGUAGAUUGAUGAGAUUCUCAGCUAAUUUGUUAUCUGUGCUUCUUUUGCAUGUUUGUGAAUCCAUAAGAAUUUUGUAAUUGUAAGUCUUUAUGAGAUUGUGUUUUAAAUCAAAGUUGACAGCACAAUAGAACCCAAUAAAAGAAAGCAUCAGUUGUACAAGGUCUGCUCAUACACCAAGAUGUGAAUGCCAAUAAUAUGGAAGAAUUGACAAAGAAACUGAAAUGUAAAAACUGCAUGUUUGUUUCUAUACUACAUCCUCUCCAUAUCACUGUCUCAGGAAUCAAACAUAAAAAUGCUACAAUAAGAGUUACAAUAAGAGUGGCUCUAAUAAAAAUGGAAACUUUUAAGAGUUAAAGCAGCUUUUCAUCAGAAUGCUACAGUAAAUAAUCUUUUAAUAAUCUUCAGCUAUCAUCACAGGAAGAACUUAAGAAUGGCAAUUUGUACUUCCUGAAGCAGUCUUGAAGGCUGAUUUACAAAUCUUUUCUAACUGUGCUUGCUUAAGAAGUUAUUCCCCUCUCCACUUCAUGCUUCUUUGUCACAUUAUUAUUUGAGCUACCGUUCAGCAUGGACAGAUUAAACUUACCUACGUUUAUAAAUUUUUUUCUUCAUUCAGUGAUUAAAUAUCAGAAUAAAUAGGGAAAGAGAUGCAUGCCUUGAGGCACAGAUAAUGAUGCCAAGACUUUACUAUCAACAACAGCCAAGUGCUCUGCAAGCUGUUUGCUCUGAAAAUCCAGGCAGUUCCUCCAACAGCACUGACAGUCCGGUUAAGAAUUUUUCAGUAAGUCCUGGAAUAAAAUGAUGGUGAAAGCCCAUUUAUCACUAAAAGAACGGUGACAUCUGGAGUGAAAUGUGAGUCAAGAAGAGACAAAAAGGAGUAAUGAAUACGCUUAUACACAAAAGCCAAGUAAUAUGGAAUAAACCAAAGUCUUACAGUAUAAUGAAGUUGACACUUAACAGGUGAGUCAGAGACUUUGGUGAAUACAAAAAAAGGGUGACAAUACUGAUCUAGAAUAGUACAGUUACAGACAGGAGAAGCAAGGAAAAAAGAAGGCAUUUCAAUUUAUGGCAAAAAUUACAUUUUUCCUUUAGUUCUGGAGUUAAAAAGGAACAAAUAUAUAUAUCUCCAUAUAAAGAUAAAACAGGAUAAGAGCAGGCAAAAUUUCAUGAUGAGCUUGGACUAUCUACUCUGAAGAAGAUGAUUAAUACCACUUAUUUGAACAGAGAUAGCCAUGAUAAAAGAAAUGACAAGAAGGAACUGAGAUCUGCUUUAAUUGUCCAAAUAUCUGUGGCAAAAUAGGAGGGCACAAGCAAGUCAUUUUGAUAUAUGCUAUAUACAAGUUUCAGAAGAUGUAGAAAGGUUCCAGAGAAACAACAAUUUAUACUAGAAUCUAACCACUGAGGUAAAAAAUCUUAAAGUGGAUGUGAUGGUAAACCUAAAGAGUUCAAGAAAAAAGAUGAUGAGAAUAAAAGAUCUGGUUUAUGAAAACACACAGAAACAACAAAAACAAAAAAAGUAGACAGUUCAGGAAUCUGCUAAUAGACUCUUGUGAAGAAAUUUUAUGGAAAUAUUUUAGAGAAAGUAGCACUUGUGACAUUAAAUAUUAAAGACCGAGUAGUUACCUGGCUCAGUGGAGAAGAAAAAGAAAUGUAACGAAGCAAUGUGGAAGACAAAAGAACUCUUUAGCGUAAUUUCAGAUAAAAGCUGCAAAAUGAAUUAUUGGUAUCAAAACAAGACAAUUUUCUACCUAUUAUGAUUCAAUCUGUGACAUACAGAUUAGUUGCAAAACUAAGACUUUUCAUUUUAGUAAAGGCAAAUAUGUAGUGUCUGUAAUAGGAAAAGUAUAAGUUGAGGUAUUUAGAUGAAUUGGGUGCACUUCAGACUGCAAGGUUUGCUAGAAAAUUCACCUUAAUGUACUUUUAGAGCAAGUUAAGGUGAUCUCUGAACUAGAAGUGGUCAUUUUCAAUAUGUGAAGGCCCGGGGAAGUCCCACAGGACUGGAGAAAGAAAGCACAAUAACUGUCCUUAAAAGAGGACGAAAAGGGUCUUCAAGUAGACUGAGUUUUAGAAGGGCACCUUACUCAAAAUUUCAGGAAAGCAGAAUAUGUCCCAAACUACACAGAAAUCAUUAUUCAUUUGUGUCUUAAAAUUGCUGGACACAUGGCAGUUUUCUCUCAGCACGUUCACAGAUGUAAUUGCCUGGAUUGGUGCAUUACUAAUUACAAGAAUUGUGACCAGGAGAAUAUAAGAAACUUGAGAAGUAUUUCCUGUUGAAGACACGACUAAGAACUCAGCUUGAUGAGCAGUUCUAGGAGUCUGGGAUUACAAGAAGGGAGAAUGCAUGUCCCUCUAUCAGGAAAUCUGAGUCAAACUGGCACAACAUAAUUAACUUUAUGCCUCAGAUUGUUUUUAUUUUUACAUAUUUAUUUUUCCCUGCCACAAGAUACAGAUGAGUAUAUUUAGUUAGAAAAACAUGUUUAAUUGUACUUUGCAUAAAUUCUCAUUUAGAAAGAAAAUGUUUUUCAAAUAAAGUUCUUUAAAUGUUUUGUGAGACAUCUGGACUUUUUUUUAUAAAAAGGAUCUGAAGGGAAUUUAGAAUCCCAGACUUCUUGUGGUUCUCACAUCAUCAUAAAAAGGCAGCAUAUUAGAAUGUGUUUGCUGCUGGGAACUGACACUUCACAAUUAUUAAGGAAGUAAAACUUCUCCUACUAGGUUUGAUUCUGUAGUGCCUAGGAUUUUUGCCUACGGUCCUGUGAAUGUGAAUUUUAUGCAAGGUGAAGAGGUGCUUUUAGGGCUUGUUUCCUCCUCUAAUUCCCCAGUAUAGGGAUUGAUCACAUCCAUUCAAGUUUGGCCUGUGUCAGGCUGUACAUUCACACUGGGCAAUGUGACAGGCAGGUGUCAGAGCUACCUUUCCACUGCUUCCUGCAAUCACCAUUAAGACAGAUGCAGCAAUAGAGAGAAGAUCAAACGGCAUAUUUUUCGUAAAGCAGACUAAAUGCUCCAGAAUCUUAAGAAGAAUAAUCAAUACAGCAUGAUUGAGUAUCCUAAUUUUAUCUCAGAAUGUAUUUGUUUCUUCCCCGGAAGAUCUGAUUUAUAGAGUCAUGUGAUGUGAUAUAUAGACAUAUAUUUUUAAAUAAAGUAUGUUUUAAACUCAUUGAGUUCCAAAGAGAACCAGGAAAUUGUAAACUUGCAAGAGUGAAAAACAUACGAUAAGAACCAACAGGCUUUUCAAAAAUUAUUUUCACCCAAUAUUUUGGAGUUAAUCUUGUAAUUUUUAUUGGGCUAAUCAACUAAAAAUAUUCCCUAACUAAAAUAUUCAACUAAAAUAUUCUCUUGGGCAUUCAUUGGAAUGAUGUUUUCUCAUUCUCCAUGGUUAAAAAUUCACAGCUGUUAUGAAAAAUAGAAAGAAUUCUAGUCAAGGGCUAUAGAAAAAUAAGCAGUCCCAAGAAUUUUCAGUUAACUCAACAAAUUGAGGUGCCCACCUCCCAUGGCAGUCAGAUGUUUAACUCAUAUAAGCUUUUUCACAAAUCUCACCUGAAAUCUCUGUUAUUUUCAGGUAAGUGUCUUGUCUGUUGAACUAAAGGACCAGAAUUGACUCUUGCACAGUAGGUUUCUUAUAAUUACUCACAAUGGGAGACUCCACUCACAACCAACUCUGGGAGGCAUUUCUGAGUCUCUGAUUUCUAACAUUCUUCACUUCUUCACCCCAUGGUAUGAACAGACUGCUUUAUAUUACUGACAAUUUAUGUUUUCCCUCUAACACCCACCUAUGUAACAUCUAUGUUGAGCAUUUACAUUUACACUAAUAGCCCCUGAGAAUCAAUUACCAUAAGAAGAUCUGUUCCUUUACACUUCAACCAAUGAAUCAGUCCUAGGUUAAAACAAGAGAAGGUAAAAAGCCAGCAUGCCUGUACUGAUUUUUUAAAAAUACUUUACUAAAAAAUUCUCUGGAUACAUAUAUAUGUAUUUUUUUUUUUCUGUUGUGUGUACGUUCAGUAUGACUUUACCUGCUUUCAAAUACGCUUUCAUAAAUGGAUUGAGCAAAGAAGCACUCAGGAUUAACUGCACGUUUUAUACACUCUGGCACUGUUUCGUAUCCUCAUGCACUAGAAUGCAGUCUGUUUGAUUGGCACACCCUUGUGGAAGCAGCUGUGAUAGCAAGCCAAUGCCCUGCUGAAACUGAAGGGAGGCCAGAGUUGUCUUUGGAAAGAUGGUGCUCUGGAGAUACAGAAAUAAUCUUCGGACAUCCUCAAACCAGUGAUUACUGCCAAGCCUCAGGAAGAGUUCUGCCAUAGGCUUUGUCCCCCCUCCCAGGCAGCGAUUUUGGGGUCCUGGUGAAUAUCUCCUGCUCUUUCUAAAAACCUUUCAGUGAUAUAGUCCUGCAAAAUCCUUUCUACUCCUUUCCAAAGCUUCUGAGAAACUAUGGAUCUGCCACCUCUGCAGAACCCUAAGUCCUUCCCAGUUUGUCACGAUUCAAGGAGAAAUGGGAAAGUAGUGUCUUAAAUACUCUUACUCGAAUUUCUAGAAUACAUCUCAGAUUUUUUUUUAACAAACAACUUCUUUUUUUGAAACCUUUUCACACUGUUUAGAAAUGCCUUCUCUUUGUCACCAAUGAUCAAACUGACAGAAAUAUUGCUUAUUUUAAAAGGUAUUUAUUUUCCAUUCAGUCCUCUGCAUUUCUAUCCAUUCCUAGCAUUCUCUAUGCUUAGGCCGUAAUGGUCUCGGAGUUCUAAUACCAUAGGCCAUCUGCAAAGCAGUCUGAAGGCAGAAAGCUCAGAGAGAACCUCUCGGCAAUGGGUGGAUCUCCAGUGGCCUUUUCUCCACUAUAUGGUUUCCUACAACAAAAGCAAGGCUGAGCCCCAUUUUUUUUUCCCUUAAGUGGUACCUUUCCAUAAGAAAAAUUACUGUGAACUGUUACCACGCCCUUCUGGAAGCAAAAUGCUCUCCUCAAAAAGUAAUGCGAAGAGCCUGGAUAUUCAUCAACAGUAUGACUCUUUUGAACACUGCCUUUCUAACCUGUGAUUAUCUCACUUAUGUACAAUGGUAAAAGAGCCACUGAAUGAGCAAGAUAGAUAUCAAGAAAUAUCAGCAAAAUGCUUCCUGAGUACAGGCAAAAUUAACAAGAAGUCAUGUGAAAAAGCAAUUUAAAUGCCAAUCUCAACACUCUUUAGCUCUUCCUAAAUCUGAAGUUCACAGUGGGGAAUUUAUAAAACUAUCGAUUAUCAAAGGAAUUCCUUUUUCCUUUCUUUCUUUCUUUCUUUC